rnacentral:rRNA from 1 species
GAUGAACGCUGGCGGCGUGCCUAAUACAUGCAAGUCGAGCGAACAGACGAGGAGCUUGCUCCUCUGACGUUAGCGGCGGACGGGUGAGUAGCACGUAGAUAACCUACCUAUAAGACUGGGAUAACUUCGGGAAACCGGAGCUAAUACCGGAUAAUAUAUUGAACCGCAUGGUUCAAUAGUGAAAGACGGUUUUGCUGUCACUUAUAGAUGGAUCCGCGCCGCAUUAGCUAGUUGGUAAGGUAACGGCUUACCAAGGCAACGAUGCGUAGCCGACCUGAGAGGGUGAUCGGCCACACUGGAACUGAGACACGGUCCAGACUCCUACGGGAGGCAGCAGUAGGGAAUCUUCCGCAAUGGGCGAAAGCUUGACGGAGCAACGCCGCGUGAGUGAUGAAGGUCUUCGGAUCGUAAAACUCUGUUAUUAGGGAAGAACAAAUGUGUAAGUAACUAUGCACGUCUUGACGGUACCUAAUCAGAAAGCCACGGCUAACUACGUG